rnacentral:rRNA from 1 species
GACGAACGCUGGCGGCGUGCCUAAUACAUGCAAGUUGAGCGCUGAAGGUUGGUACUUGUUCCUACUGGAUUAGCAGCGAACGGGUGAGUAACGCGUGGGUAAUCUGCCUUUGAGCGGGGGACAACAUUUGGAAACGAAUGCUAAUACCGCAUAAAAACUUUAAACACAAGUUUUAAGUUUGAAAGAUGCAAUUGCUUCACUCAAAGAUGAUCCCGCGUUGUAUUAGGUAGUUGGUGAGGUAAAGGCUCACCAAGGCGAUGAUACAUAGCCCAACUGAGAGGGGGAUUGGCCAAAUUGGGACUGAGACAAGGCCCAAACCUCCAAGGGAAGGAGCAGGAGGGAAACCUCGGGAAAGGAGGAAAGGCUGAACGAGGAAAGGCGGGGGGGUGAAGAAGGGUGUUGGAUCCGAAAAACCUGUUGGUAGGGGAGAAAGUUGGGGAGAGGGGAAAGCGCACAAAGUGACGGUAACUACUCAGAAAGGGACGGCUAACUACGUG